CUAGGUGUAAAUUUAGAAGGCUUCAAAAGCUGUCAUGGAGCUGUGCAAAGAGGCAACUCCCAGAUACUGUCAAUUGUCUGGCUCUGUUUCUGUUUUCUGGCCGGUUUGUUUCAAAGUUGUGAGGUUUAGUUUUUCAAACUUUCCUUAAAGUUACUUGGUCUGGCAUUGAGGAAGGAAUUUACUGAAAGUCUUUAUCAAACCCUCUCCUCCCUCAGACUUGGGAGCAGGAAGAGGCAUAAAUGGAUUAGGGGCCUGUUCCACCUGCAGCAGUCACCGAGUACAGGCCAAACAGUGAAAAGUUCAAGAAAGCAGGCUGGAGUUCAGCCACAUCCAUGAGAGCAGGGCCGCAACACACAGAACCAUGACCUGGGAAGACAAAUGCCAUCACUCCAAACAUCCUUCUUUUCCUCUUUCUUUCUUUCCCCCACUUUAUAUACUGAGCAUGAUGUCAUGGGGCAUUUUUCUGCAAUAAAGAACAGUGUCAUAACAACAACUACAACUGCAGAAGGUCAUUAUUUCAUCUGUUCAGAGACAUAACCUCACCAGGGCAAGGAUAAGCUGUCUCUCUGCCAGCUGCCUGAAGUUAAAUGUCCAGAGUCAACAGGAACAUGCUGAAAGAGCUGAAAGAAACAGCAACUUUGUUUUUUCAAACAGCAUCUAAUUGGUAUUUUCUGAAGAUUGAAGAUAAGGAAAUAUUGAAUUCCCUAACUUUCCAUCAGCCUAGAAAAUCCUGUGCAUUUAUGGAAACCACACACCUACAAGGCCUUUCUCUACAUGUUGAAAGUUGGAGAAAGAGGGUUCAAGCUGGAGGCCAGAGGUGCCUUGGCAGCCCACCACACCCUUUCUUCUCAAAGAAGAUUUACGGGCUUUGCUGGUAUUACCAAGCACUCCAACUGCAAGAAACUUGAUUUUCUGAAGCUGAAAGGGAAGAAGAAGCUGAAAGAAAUUACGAAGCUGAAGGAAAGGAAGAAACCAUAACUUCCCACUUUGUAAAUCAAGUGGCAAAGUCCAGCAACUGAA